rnacentral:rRNA from 1 species
CACGUAGGGCGCAAGCGUUGUCCGGAAUUAUUGGGCGUAAAGAGCUCGUAGGCGGUCUGUUGCGUCCGCUGUGAAAACCCGGGGCUUAACCCUGGGCUGGCAGUGGAUACGGACAGACUAGAGGUAGGUAGGGGAGAAUGGAAUUCCCGGUGUAGCGGUGAAAUGCGCAGAUAUCGGGAGGAACACCGGUGGCGAAGGCGACUCUUUGGCCUGUAACUGACGCUGAGGCGCGAAAGCGUGGGGAGCAAACAGG